UAAGCAUAUCAAUAAGCGGAGGAAAAGAAACCAACAGGGAUUACCUCAGUAACGGCGAGUGAAGCGGUAACAGCUCAAAUUUGAAAUCUGGGUCUUUCAGGCUCCGAGUUGUAAUUUGUAGAAGAUGCUUUGGGUGCGGCCCCGGUCUAAGUUCCUUGGAACAGGACGUCAUAGAGGGUGAGAAUCCCGUAUGUGAUCGGUGGCUUGCGCCCGUGUAAAGCUCUUUCGACGAGUCGGGUUGUUUGGGAAUGCAGCUCUAAAUGGGUGGUAAAUUUCAUCUAAAGCUAAAUAUUGGCCAGAGACCGAUAGCGCACAAGUAGAGUGAUCGAAAGAUGAAAAGCACUUUGGAAAGAGAGUUAAACAGUACGUGAAAUUGUUGAAAGGGAAGCGCUUGCAACCAGACUUGCGCGGGGUUGAUCAUCCGGGGUUCUCCCCGGUGCACUCGGCCUCGCUCAGGCCAGCAUCGGUUUCGGUGGUUGGAUAAAGGCCUUGGGAAUGUGACUCCUCUCGGGGAGUGUUAUAGCCCUCGGUGCAAUGCAGCCUACCGGGACCGAGGACCGCGCUUCGGCUAGGAUGCUGGCGUAAUGGUUGUAAGCGACCCGUCUUGAAACACGGACCAAGGAGUCUAACAUCUAUGCGAGUGUUUGGGUGUCAAACCCAUACGCGUAAUGAAAGUGAACGGAGGUGAGAACCCUUAAGGGUGCAUCAUCGACCGAUCCUGAUGUCUUCGGAUGGAUUUGAGUAAGAGCAUAGCUGUUGGGACCCGAAAGAUGGUGAACUAUGCCUGAAUAGGGUGAAGCCAGAGGAAACUCUGGUGGAGGCUCGCAGCGGUUCUGACGUGCAAAUCGAUCGUCAAAUUUGGGUAUAGGGGCGAAAGACUAAUCGAACCAUCUAGUAGCUGGUUCCUGCCGAA
rnacentral:rRNA from 1 species